GCCUUCCAGCCAUCUCUCUUUUCUAUCAAAGAACAAUUAGACACAGCUGCAGAGACCUUUCUUGAUGUCUGAGGAUCAAUUGUAGAAGAAUCAAUAAAUAGCCUUGGUCUGAGUAGACUACCACCACUAAGAAAACCAUUCUUUCCAGUAUAGACAUCCAGAACAUGGUUUGAUGACGGUAACAUUGUAAUAACUACAUCACUUGUCUCUGCAACUUUCAAAGGUGAAUCUUCUGUGAGAACGCCUUUGGCUGAGAACAUCGUCAUAACAUUAUGAUUUAUGUCAUGUACUGCAACCUCAUAUCCAUCUUUAAUCAAGCUAUCAGCCAUUCUUGCUCCCAUGUUUCCGAGUCCUAUAAAUCCAAUUCUACCAAAAGAAGAUGAAGAAUAACUAUGCAUCGGAUAAAAUGGCGAAACUGAACAAACCAUUUUGUGGAGACCCAGAAGUGAUCGCAGUCUGCAGAAAGUAGCCAUAGCUGCAAAUUCGAAGAUGAGAAGAAAUAAGUUGUUGGAU
rnacentral:misc_RNA from 1 species